rnacentral:rRNA from 1 species
UUCCGUGCUCUACCUGCAAGACUGGCGCAACUAACGCAUUAAGUUCUCCGCCUGGGGAGUACGGUCGCAACGAUUAAAACUCACAGGAAUUGACGGAAGUGCCAAGCAUUGUCCGGAAUUAUUGGGCAUUAAGGGCGCGUACGCGGGCCCUUAAGUCAGAUGUGAAAUCCCGAGGCUUAACCUCGGGCGUGCAUUUGAAACUGGGGGACUAGAGUGCAGGAGAGGUAAGUGGAAUUCCUAGUGUAGCGGUGAAAUGCGUAGAUAUUAGGAGGAACACCAGUGGCGAAGGCGACUUACUGGACUGUAACUGACGCUGAGGCGCGAAAGCGUGGGGAGCAAACAGGAUUAGAUACCCUGGUAGUCCACGCUGUAAACGAUGGAUACUAGGUGUGGGAGGUAUCGACCCCUUCCGUGCCGCAGUAAACGCAAUAAGUAUCCCGCCUGGGGAGUACGGCCGCAAGGUUGAAACUCAAA